rnacentral:rRNA from 1 species
UCAAGCUUAUCGAUACCGUCGGUGAAAUGCUUAGAUAUCACGAAGAACUCCGAUUGCGAAGGCAGCCUGCUGGACUGUAACUGACGCUGAUGCUCGAAAGUGUGGGUAUCAAACAGGAUUAGAUACCCUGGUAGUCCACACAGUAAACGAUGAAUACUCGCUGUUUGCGAUAUACAGUAAGCGGCCAAGCGAAAGCGUUAAGUAUUCCACCUGGGGAGUACGCCGGCAACGGUGAAACUCAAAGGAAUUGACGGGGGCCCGCACAAGCGGAGGAACAUGUGGUUUAAUUCGAUGAUACGCGAGGAACCUUACCCGGGCUUAAAUUGCAGAUGAAUUACGGUGAAAGCCGUAAGCCGCAAGGCAUCUGUGAAGGUGCUGCAUGGUUGUCGUCAGCUCGUGCCGUGAGGUGUCGGCUUAAGUGCCAUAACGAGCGCAACCCUUGUUGUCAGUUACUAACAGGUUCCGCUGAGGACUCUGACAAGACUGCCAUCGUAAGAUGUGAGGAAGGUGGGGAUGACGUCAAAUCAGCACGGCCCUUACGUCCGGGGCUACACACGUGUUACAAUGGGGGGUACAGAAGGCAGCUACACGGCGACGUGAUGCUAAUCCCGAAAGCCUCUCUCAGUUCGGAUUGGAGUCUGCAACCCGACUCCAUGAAGCUGGAUUCGCUAGUAAUCGCGCAUCAGCCACGGCGCGGUGAAUACGUUCCCGGGCCUUGUACACACCGCCCGUCAAGCCAUGAAAGCCGGGGGUACCUGAAGUACGUAACCGCAAGGAUCGUCCUGACCUCGAGGG